UACGUAGGGCGCAAGCGUUGUCCGGAAUUAUUGGGCGUAAAGAGCUCGUAGGCGGUUCGACAAGUCGGGUGUGAAAACUCCGGGCUCAACCCGGAGACGCCACCCGAUACUGUCGUGACUGGAGUCCGGUAGGGGAGCGGGGAAUUCCUGGUGUAGCGGUGAAAUGCGCAGAUAUCAGGAGGAACACCGGUGGCGAAGGCGCCACUCUGGGCCGGUACUGACGCUGAGGAGCGAAAGCGUGGGUAGCAAACAGG
rnacentral:rRNA from 1 species